rnacentral:lncRNA from 1 species
GGAAGAGGGGUGCGUGCUGCCGCAAUAAACCAUCCCUCCAUUAUGAGCUGUUGUCUGCAGCCAAGGCAAUGCUGGAGGAGAGAGGGGAUAAAGGAUACGGUGCAGUUUGUUCUCGUUAUACUUGGAGGACAUGCGGUUCAGGGAGGAGGUGAGCCAUGAGGCCAGCGUGCUGGAUGUGCCUUUUGCUCUCCAAGGCUGGAUUUUGCUUUAAACCAGUUGUGCCACCAAACCUCUGCUGCUCACACCCUACUGGGACUGGGGUGGUUCCAGGCAAGAACUGGGAGAACAUCAGCACGGAGCAUCCUGCCGUCAGCACACCUCACCUGUCCUUGAAGGUCUUGGUGAGCUGCGUGUGGCACCUCUUGACGAGCUCAGUGCUGCUGCUGGCGCUGGCAGCCCACUUGUAUUUGUGCCAUAUGUCACUGCUGGUGUUGUCCAGGCGGCCGCAGCCCUCGGGCUGUAGGCUGGGGCUGGCGAGCAGGGUCAGGUUGCCAAAGCUGUCCUUCUUGAGGUGCACUGAAACGACUCCUGCAGGAAAGGAGGCAAAGCAAACCAGAACGGGGUUAACCCCUGUGAUACUGUGGG